UUCAUCUGUUACCCUUCAUCUCGGCACCUCUUCUCGGUUCUUACGUUACGCAGUCGCACGAUCUUAAGCCAUCAAUUUCAAAAGAUGAUUGUUAUUUCCCUAAUCAUCAACCUGUCUCUGCCAUCAUCUCCUCAUUUGUCAGAUUUUUUGCAUUGGGUAGAACCAGCAAGGAAUUUCAUUGAAGAAGGUCAAGGAUUGUCCGAAUUAGGGCUUGCUUCAAGUCUUCAUCUUGCUCCUGUGUCAGUUUCAACAGAUAUUCUACUUGGUUGGAUUUCCCUUG